ensembl:lncRNA
NNNNNNNNNNNNNNGCACGGGGCUGCAGGGCUGCACAGGGCUGCACGAAGGUGCACGGGGCUGCAUGGGGUUGCACGAAAGUGCAUGAGGUUGCAGGGAUGCACAGGGGUGCACAAGGAUGCAUGAGGCUGCAUGAAGGUGCACGGGGCUGCACGAAAGUGCAUGAAGCUGCAGGGCUGCACGAAGGUGCACGGGGCUGCAUGGGGCUGCACGGGGCUGCAUGGGGCUGCCAGAAGGUGCAUGGGGCUGCAAGAAGGUGCAUGGGGCUGCAGGGCUGCACGGGGCUGCAGGGCUGCGCAGAGCUGCAGGAAGGUGCACAAGGCUGCAGGGGUGCACGAGGCUGCAGGGGCUCCCUUGGGGUGCAGCUGCCCCGGGGCUUUGGGGGUCCCAGCGAGGGUCGCAGGCGCCCCGGCGGCUGCGGUGUCCCCCGCGGGCGCUCACGUGCCGCCGCUCGGUCCGCAGGGAGGAGCCGCGGGGCUCGGCGACGGUCCUGCGCCGCGACCUGCACAUCGGCUCCUUGGGCGCCCGCGAGCUGCGCACCAACUUCACCUGCGUGGUGCUGAGCCCCGCCGGCUUCGCCGCCCGCCAAGCGCGCUGGGCGCCGGACGAGGCGCCUGCCGAAGGCCCGGGACUGGGCUGAGCCCUGCGCCGCUCGUGACAGGCCAGAGCGCUGCAGUGAGAGCAGCCGGGGGCAGCCGGCCGGCCGGGCGCUGCUCCAGGACUGGACGCUUCCCGGGGCGGCCGGCAGCCUGCAUGGCCCCAUCCCGUCCCAUCCCAUCCCGUCCUGUCCCAUCCCGCCGCCGUGCGGCUCCCCGGGAGCGCGGCCGGGCCCUGCCCGCAGUGGGCUGCGGGGACCGGGAGGGUUCAUUAAAGCGCAACCGAGGCUGCCUGCUGUCGGCCGUGUCCUUGCUCCGAGCCGCCGGCGGCCGCCCCGGGAAAGGGAAACCCCUCCAUGCACCCGAGGAAGAGGAAGGGGUCUCGGCAGUGCGGGGGGGUUGCUGCCACCUCGGGAAGGCUCCCGGGUUUUGCAUCCGGGGGCCCUUGCUCUCCCGGAGGCUGCGCCAGCAGUGCCGCGGCCCCUGUGCCCCGAGCGCCCGCCUGCCAAAGGGGCCUUCAUCACCACCACCAUCAUCACCACCAUCAGCAUCACCACCAUCAUCAGCAUCAUCGUCGCCCCUUGCAAAGCGAGGGGGAGGAAACCCCUUGCUGCCAAACGCGGUGCAUCCGCGCCGCGUUGCACCGUCCCUCCCCGUGUGUCCCCGUCCCUGCCGACGCGGAGCAGCAGCGCCGGAAAAACCGGCGGAGCCCCGGGCUGGGCGGGAAGGGAGGCACCGAACGGUCCCCGCGGGACGGGCGCAGGCUCGCAAGCAUCCGGGGGCAGCAGGGUGAGCGCGGUUUGCAAAGGGGACUGAGGCAACCUGCGGAGGGGUUUUGGUUUCUAACUCCUUUGAUUUCCUUGGGGGUUUGGCACUGGCAUCCGUCUGAGGCUCCGGAUCUGGGAAUAAGAUUUCRAAGGUAUUCAGGCACCCGAUAAGAUUUUUUCACACUCAGAAUCAGUGGUGCACAGACACCUAUCCGCUGCCUCCCGGAAAAUCCUCCAGGGUAACUGUGGGCUACGUCUUGCAGCGGGUGAARCCUCAGCGGGACGUUCAGCAGCCCCGGUCGCACUGAACGACUGCAGGGCUGCAAGGCCUCCAAGUCACUG